rnacentral:rRNA from 1 species
GGGGAAUAUUGGACAAUGGGCGCAAGCCUGAUCCGGCAAUGCCGCGUGUGUGAAGAAGGUCUUCGGAUUGUAAAGCACUUUCGGCGGGGACGAUGAUGACGGUACCCGCAGAAGAAGCCCCGGCUAACUUCGUGCCAGCAGCCGCGGUAAUACGCAGGGGGCUAGCGUUGCUCGGAAUUACUGGGCGUAAAGGGCGCGUAGGCGGCGCUGCAAGUCAGGCGUGAAAUUCCUGGGCUUAACCUGGGGGCUGCGCUUGAGACUGUGGUGCUAGAGGACGGAAGAGGGUAGUGGAAUUCCCAGUGUAGAGGUGAAAUUCGUAGAUAUUGGGAAGAACACCGGUGGCGAAGGCGGCGACCUGGUCCGUUACUGACGCUGAGGCGCGACAGCGUGGGGAGCAAAC